rnacentral:tRNA from 2 species
AUCUAAAUAGUUUAAUGUAAAAUAUUGGUUUGUGGUGCCAAUGAUAUAGGUUUAUUUUGGAUU